UAAGAUUAGAAAAAUAUACAAAAUCAAACUCAUCAUUCGUAUUCAUAAAAACGCAAACCCUUUUUCUUCUUCUCAAUUUCUUCUUCACGCGACUUCACUUCAAAUUCUUCUUCUCUUCACUGCAAACUCAAUCUUCACUGCAAAUCGUUCUUCACUACAAACCCUUCAUUCAACAAAGGAACCCCUUUGUUAAACUCUUCUCACGAACCCAGAAAUCCCUUCGUCAAACUCGAAUCCUUCACAUAAAACCUAGAAAUCGCACUCUUCACUGCCGAGAAAUCGAACCCCUCCCUGCAAAUUUGAAGCCCUAACUUUCUGGAAGGCAAUAUUCAUUCGUAUGUAUGUAAUUUGUAAACCCUAACUUUUAUUUUUUCUGAUAUUUCAGUUUCAGUUUCUGUUGCUAUUUCUAUUAUUUUUUGUUAUUGUUGUUAUUAUUAUCAUUAUUAUUAUUAUUAUUAUUAUUAUUAUUAUUAUUAUUAUUAUUAUUAUUAUUAUUAUUAUUGUUGUUGUUGUUGUUGUUGUUGUUGUUGUUGUUGUUGUUGUUGUUGUUGUUGUUGUUGUUGUUGUUGUUGUUGUUGCAAGAGGGUGUGAAUAAGGUUUCAAUUCGUGAAUGUGAAGAUAUCAUCAAAGCACAGUUAUUCCAGUUGCAUACAUACAGUGUUGCCCUUAAGCAGCAACAAUACCUACUCCCUGACACACUUCGUAAUUUAGAGACAGAAAAGGUUGACUCGGAGAACACGCUUGUUGAAGACCAGAGACAACCCAAGGAUGAAGGGGAUCCCUAUCUAUCAACACAUGAAGACAAUGUGGCAAGCCUUACAAUUUUACAACAAGGUGGUGUGGUUUCUUCAAUUUUGGAUGCUUACAAAUAUAUUUCCUAUAACGUAGGGAGCUGGAAUUUGUUAACGAACCAAAUAGUUUACAUGAAAAGCAAUUGGAGCAAUUGUUGAGACACCAAAAUAGAAUCCAAGUAUGAUGAGAUUGUUGCAUAUAGAGUGGUAUCAAUAAUUCUGCAUAAUGGUGGAGAAGCUGCUAGUUUUAGGAUCAUCAAAGGGAAGGUGUCUGCUGCAAUUUGGUGACAAAAUUCAGAAUCAGAGUUGAUCUUUAGAAUUUUCAAGAGACUCCUUAAUCGAAUGUUGCAAGUCAAGAGGUGGUUGGGAUCCUUGCUGCUUUGAUAUGUUGAGUUAUGUUUAUACUCAUGAGAUCUAACUUAUUAUACAUUGAUAUAGAUGAAUUAUGUUACCAACUAUUUUAAUAAAUUGGCAUAUGGCUUUUUCAAUUUUGUCUUGCUGGAGAAACCAUGUAUAUAUAAUCAUGAAUUUUCUUAUAGCGAAACGAUAAUUAUUUACUUGGGUUAA